rnacentral:pre_miRNA from 1 species
UGGAAGACUAGCGAUUUUGUUGUUAAUUAUCAGAAUCCACAACAAGUCUUGGUCUUCCUGG